GUCCCGGUGGCACAGUGGAUAGCGCGGCCCCCUCCUAAGGGGCAGGUCGGAGGUUCGAAUCCUCUCCGGGACGCCA
rnacentral:tRNA from 3 species